GACGAACGCUGGCGGCGUGCUUAACACAUGCAAGUCGAACGGAAAGGCCCUGCUUUUGUGGGGUGCUCGAGUGGCGCACGGGUGAGUAACACGUGAGUAACCUGCCCUUGACUUUGGGAUAACUUCAGGAAACUGGGGAUAAUACCGGAUAGGAGCUCCUGCUUCAUGGUGGGGGUUGGAAAGUUUCGGCGGUUGGGGAUGGACUCGCGGCUUAUCAGCUUGUUGGUGGGGUAGUGGCUUACCAAGGCUUUGACGGGUAGCCGGCCUGAGUGGGUGACCGGCCACAUUGGGACUGAGAUACGGCCCAGACUCCUACGGGAGGCAGCAGUGGGGAAUAUUGCACAAUGGGCGGAAGCCUGAUGCAGCAACGCCGCGUGCGGGAUGACGGCCUUCGGGUUGUAAACCGCUUUCGCCUGUGACGAAGCGUGAGUGACGGUAAUGGGUAAAGAAGCACCGGCUAACUACGUG
rnacentral:rRNA from 1 species